rnacentral:tRNA from 8 species
UGGGGCGUAGCCAAGCGGUAAGGCAACGGGUUUUGGUCCCGCUAUUCGGAGGUUCGAAUCCUUCCGUCCCAGA